AUCUGCAUUUAUCAAGUUAAUUUCAGUAAGUACUUUACAUCUUCCUACUAUAUUACAAUAUAAAAUUUGUAUUAACAUGUUUUUAUAAUAUAAAUUAAUGAAAUACCUACUACAUUAUAACUGAUAAUAUACAAUUUUAGGUACCUACAACAUAAUUGUGCAACAUAUAAGUUAUGAUAUGAAGUAUAUAGUAUAGAUUAUACAUUAGUUUACAGACAAAUCAACAGAUUUAUUUUUACUUUCAUUGUUGUAUGGAUUUUAUUAAAAAUCAUGAAAAUAAUACUUAACAAAAUUUAUUUUGUGUUAUUACAUACUGCAAGUGAAUAUAAAACAAGAAGUGAAGUGAUAAACCAAUCUGUUGCUUAUGGUAUCACAGUACAGACAUAAAUAGUUAUUGUUGGACUUAAUCAAACAAACAAUUUGGAUUGCUAUGUUGUGCUUGAAAAUUCAGAAUUUAAGGU